rnacentral:rRNA from 1 species
UACGUAGGGACCAAGCGUUGUUCGGAUUUACUGGGCGUAAAGGGCGCGUAGGCGGCGUGACAAAUCACUUGUGAAAUCUCUGGGCUUAACCCAGAACGGCCAAGUGAAACUGUUGUGCUAGAGUGCAGAAGGGGCAAUCGGAAUUCUCGGUGUAGCGGUGAAAUGCGUAGAUAUCGAGAGGAACACCAGAGGUGAAGACGGGUUGCUGGGCUGACACUGACGCUGAGGCGCGAAAGCCAGGGGAGCAAACGGG